AACUGCAGAUAGUGGUCUGCCCCUGUGGGGGUUGGCAAGUAAGUUGUGGGCCUAUCAGCUGGUAGUUAGGGUAAUGGCCUAACUAGGCGCAGACGGGAUACGGGGGAUCAGGGUUUGGUUCCGGAGAGGGAGCCUGAGAGAUGGCUACUACGUCCAAGGAUGGCAGCAGGCGCGAAACUUGCCUAAUCCUUUGGGGAGGCGGUUAUGAGAAGUGAUGUGUGUGCGAGUGCAAAGGGGUCGCAUGUGAUUGGAGGGCAAGUCGGGUGCCAGCAGCCGCGGUAAUACCUGCUCCAAUAGUGUCUAUGGUGGAUGCUGCAGUUAAAAUGUCCGUAGUCUGUUGUGUAUGUCUUUGUGUGUGAUGUUUGUGGUUGUGUGUGGAUGUAGUGAUGUGUGUGGCAGAGGACGAGGGGCACUGGAUAGUUGGGCGAGAGGUGAAAUGCGAAGACCCUGACUGGACGAGCGGAAGCGAAGGCUGUGCUCUUGGACUAAUGUUGCGAUGAAGGACGAAGGCUAGAGGAUCGAAAUCGAUUAGAUACCGUUUUAGUUCUAGCAGUAAACGAUGCCGACUGGACGGGAGU
rnacentral:rRNA from 1 species